rnacentral:rRNA from 1 species
UACGUAGGGCGCAAGCGUUGUCCGGAAUUAUUGGGCGUAAAGAGCUCGUAGGCGGCUUGUCACGUCGGAUGUGAAAGCCCGGGGCUUAACCCCGGGUCUGCAUUCGAUACGGGCAGGCUAGAGUGUGGUAGGGGAGAUCGGAAUUCCUGGUGUAGCGGUGAAAUGCGCAGAUAUCAGGAGGAACACCGGUGGCGAAGGCGGAUCUCUGGGCCAUUACUGACGCUGAGGAGCGAAAGCGUGGGGAGCGAACAGG